rnacentral:rRNA from 1 species
AUGGCCCACAUAUCAGAUAUUAAACUGAUAAAAACAGAUACUACACUUGAUGUUAGCCAAAAGGCCGAGAAAGGUAUGCUUUCAAACGAUGUCUUGUGCCUUGUUUUAUAG